AUCCUUGUACAGAGGCAAUAUCAUAGCUUAUGAGGUUUGUCUGAGGUGUGUUUAUUGUUAGUUGAAAACUUUACCCAAUACCCUGUCUGGGUGACUUGAAAACUAGUCAGCUGUGGCAUUUUUUAAAGGUCUUUGAGAAAA